AUUGAACGCUGGCGGCAGGCUUAACACAUGCAAGUCGAGCGGGGAUAGGGUGCUUGCACCUGAUUCCUAGCGGCGGACGGGUGAGUAAUGCUCAGGAAUCUGCCUAUUAGUGGGGGACAACAUUCCGAAAGGGAUGCUAAUACCGCAUACGCCCUACGGGGGCAAGCAGGGGAUCUUCGGACCUUGCGCUACUAGAUGAGCCUAAGUCGGAUUAGCUAGUUGGUGGGGUAAAGGCCUACCAAGGCGACGAUCUGUAGCGGGUCUGAGAGGAUGAUCCGCCACACUGGGACUGAGACACGGCCCAGACUCCUACGGGAGGCAGCAGUGGGGAAUAUUGGAUAAUGGGGGGAACCCUGAUCCAGCCAUGCCGCGUGUGUGAAGAAGGCCUUUUGGUUGUAAAGCACUUUAAGCGAGGAGGAGGCGCUCUGGGAUAAUACCCUAGAUGCGUGGACGUUACUCGCAGAAUAAGCACCGGCUAACUCUGUGCCAGCCGCCGCCGUAACAC
rnacentral:rRNA from 1 species